UACGAGGGGGGCGAGCGUUGUCCGGAAUUAUUGGGCGUAAAGGGUGCGUAGGCGGUUUGGUAAGUCUUAUGUGAAAUCUACAGGCUCAACUUGUAGUCUGCAUGAGAAACUGCCGGGCUUGAGUAUGGGAGAGGUGAGUGGAAUUCCUGGUGUAGCGGUGAAAUGCGUAGAUAUCAGGAGGAACACCUGUGGCGAAAGCGGCUCACUGGACCAUAACUGACGCUGAUGCACGAAAGCUAGGGGAGCAAACAGG
rnacentral:rRNA from 1 species